rnacentral:rRNA from 1 species
UGGGGAACCUGCCCCAUAGUCUGGGAUACCACUUGGAAACAGGUGCUAAUACCGGAUAAGAAAGCGGAUCGCAUGAUCAGCUUUUAAAAGGCGGCGUAAGCUGUCGCUAUGGGAUGGCCCCGCGGUGCAUUAGCUAGUUGGUAAGGUAAAGGCUUACCAAGGCGAUGAUGCAUAGCCGAGUUGAGAGACUGAUCGGCCACAUUGGGACUGAGACACGGCCCAAACUCCUACGGGAGGCAGCAGUC